UACAGAGGGGGCAAGCGUUGUUCGGAAUCACUGGGCGUAAAGGGUGCGUAGGUGGCGAGGCAAGUCUGGUGUGAAAUCCCGGGGCUCAACCCCGGAACUGCACUGGAUACUGCCUUGCUUGAGCACUGGAGAGGGAACUGGAAUUUACGGUGUAGCAGUGAAAUGCGUAGAUAUCGUAAGGAAGACCAGUGGCGAAGGCGAGUUCCUGGACAGUUGCUGACACUGAGGCACGAAGGCUAGGGGAGCAAACGGG
rnacentral:rRNA from 1 species